rnacentral:tRNA from 10 species
GAGCGCGUAGCUCAGUUGGUAGAGCAACGGACUUUUAAUCUGUAGGUCCAGGGUUCGAAUCCCUGCGCGCUCACCA